UUUUUAUAUUAUGCUUAAAAGCAGUGUGGAAAGAAGACAUCCUUGCUUUGUUCCCCAUUUUUAAAAGAGAAGUGUUUAUUUCUCACCAUUUACUAUAAAAGAUGGAGGAGAACAGCAAUUAUUUUUUCUUCAAAUGUUUGGUAGACUGCACAUGUAAGACCUUUGAUCCUGGUCUCAGACUAGCCUUCCUGCCUGAGAGCUCUCCUUGCCUACUUCUGAAGUUGGUCACUGGAAUGUGUUCCAAGAAUGUUGAAUUAUUUCUGAACUUGCCAAUGUUUUUCUCUGUGAUUAGGCCAUCUGUGUUUGCUAAUUGGUGCUCAUUAAAUUAGGCUCCUACCCUCCCACAUGGGCUGGGAGAUAGAGGCCCUAUCUUCCAUGAUGGUUACAUUUAUUCAAAUGAAUGGCUUCAAGGUCCUUGAGAAAAACAUUAUUGGGCUGUAAAACUGGCAAGAGAGUUUUUAAAAAGUACAUGGAAAUAAGGUACAACUGUAAGUUUUCUAAAGUGAAUGCUCUAAGAAAAAGGAAGUUCAGGAGCCAAGACAGGGAAAGACCUGUCUAAAAUUCAAUCAUGGCGAGGAGAACAUAAGACUAUCUUAAGGACAGGAGCACUUUGGGAGGCUGAGGGGGGUGGAUCACAAGGUCAAGAGAUCCAGACCAUCCUGGCCAACAUGGUGAAACCCCAUCUCUACUAAAAAUACAAAAAUUAGCUGGGUGUGGUGGCAUGCACCUGUAAUCCCAGCUACUCAGGAGGCUGAGGCAGGAGAAUUGCUUGAACCUGGGAAGUGGAGAUUGCAGUUUGCAGUGAGCCGAGAUCAUGCCUCUGCACUCCAGCCUGGCAACAGAGUGAGACUCUGUGUCAAAAAAAUAAACAAAAAAAAAAAACUGUUUUAGUCACUUGUAGAGGAAAAAUGAAUUAAGAACACUCUUCUACUGGGCACUUAAAAAAACAAACAAAAGGAAAAACAUCCAUUUAUUCAGAGUGUAAAACUAAUGGAUUGAAUUGUCAUGAAUUCUGUAGUUCUGAUGAUUCAGCUCUUGUUCCAGGCCAGAAGGCUAUGAUAGGUGUGAAAGGAAAGUAUCUUGGGUCCCUUCAACCUGGGAACCACUCAUGGCAAAUCUGCCUCCCAUUCUAUUCAAAGUCAUCUCACUGCUCACAGGAAUAGAUACAUAUUCUGAUUGCCUUCUUGUAAAGACCUAUCAGAAACUCAAAAGAAUGCAACCAUCUGUUUCUCACCUACCUGUGACCUGGAAGUCCCCUUGCUUUGAGUUGUCUCCACUUUUCUGAACAAAACUGGUGUGACUCUUACCUAUAUUGAUUGAUGUCUCAUGUCUCCCUAAAAUGUAUAAAACCAAGCUGUGCCCAGAUCACCAUGGGCACGUGUCAUCAGGACUUCCUCAGGCUGUGUCACAGGCCUCAACCUCGGCAAAAUAAACUUUCUAAAUAAACUGAGACCUGUCUCAGAUUUUCCAGGUUCACUUUUUGGUAACCACCAAAGGAUUCUGAGUGGAGAUGCCCUUGACCUUUGACAAAUCUCCCUUAGGUGCUUGUACAAGCAUGAGCUAACUUUAUGGCUCAAACCAAUAGGACAAUUUGCUGAGGCCUGAGAGAUUUCCCUCCAGAGAAUCCCUGAUCUCCCAAAAUUUGGUCGAGAUCUAAAGUUUAUUUUGCUGUGCAACUCUUCCUUUUUUUUUUUUUUUUUGGAGUUUUACUUGCUUUCAACAGGAAGGCAAGUUUUCCUGCUUCCGUGAUGAUGGAAGGCAGUAACUCUUUUAUGGAAUUUGAGCUUGCUUCCAACAGGGAAGGUGAAUUUUUUUCUUUUUUCCCUGCUUCUACAAUGGUAGAAAGCAGUCUACAACCUGAGACCCAACACUAGGUAAGAAAUUGGUUUGGGAUUCUGUCUUGCAAAUUCUUUUUAAAUGACUAAAGUUAGCAUUUAACAACCAGCUGCUGUUAAUUUCUGCUCACAUUUAGAGCACUCAGAUAUCAUAUAAUCUGUGUGAUCAUAGUUCAUUUUGCUUAACUGUUUUGUUUGUUUCUGUCUUGGUCAAAUCCUAAGGGAAACCCUAACUCAUGGGGAACAAGGUCUCUGAAGUGAAAGGAAAAUGGCCAGCAAAAGGAAAAAAAAAUUUAAUUGUAACUACUUAAAGGGCUUUAUUUACAUAAUAAGGCCACCUUUUGCCAGCCACACCAAACUGAAAGAGCAAUGGCUGAACUUCUGAAAUAGCAGCAUUUUCUCCUAGCUGAAAUAUGGUAAUGAGAUUUAAAGAUUUUUUUUUUUUUAGAGAGCUCAAUGGUUAAAAAUCAGCUUAAUUAAAAGGUUAACAUCCCAGGGGUGUGUGUAUAUGUGUAUGUUUAUAUUAAAAAAGACUUUAUGUUUUUGAGGGGGGUGUUGUUUGUUUUUCUGUCCUAAGACCUUGUCUCUUUUUUGAGCAAAUUUCUCUUUCUCAGUUGACUAAAUUCUGUUUUCACCCGAUUUUCUGACUAAAAUAAUUAUUGCAACAAAGUCUACUUUUGGUUUUUCAAAGAAGAAUGUAGUUUAGACACUCAGAAAUGUUUUUGUUUAAAAAAAUUUUAAGUGGACUGUAAAAGUGUCUCUCUCUAACACUGCCAGACAUUUUCUCUCUGUACCUUAUGAGGUAAAUUUUGCUAUUUGAUUUUCACCUAAGUGGUUUCCUUUAAUGUGCAAAUUUAAGUCUAUUUAGCUGACAACUGCUUAGGGUUGUGAAACAGGUUAUCAAGAAUCUGAAAGUCUAAGAUAGGAAAAAACAACAAAAAAGGGGGAGUCUUUAUUUAUAUUUGUAUUUAUAUUUAUAUUUUAUUUUAUUUUAUUUUGAGAUGAAGUUUUGCUCUCGUUGCCCAGGCUGGAGUGCAAUGACGUGAUUUCAGCUCAAUGCAACCUCCACCUCCUGGGUUCAAGUGAUUCUCCUGCCUCAGCCUCCCGAGUAGCUGUGAUUAUAGGCACCCGCCACCAUGCCCGGCUAAUUUUUUCUAUUUUUAGUAGAGAUGGGUUUUCACCAUGUUGGCCAGGCUGGUCUUGAACUCCUAACCUCAGGUGAUCUACCCGCCUUGGCCUCCGAAAGUGCUAGGAUUACAGGCGUGAAGCACCACGCCUGGCCAGGAGGGUCUUUAUUAAUCUGUAAAAUGUAGUUCCAUCGGCAUGCCUAACAUGUCUUUAUAUGUAUUUAUGUGUUCUGUACAAAAUAUGUCACUACUAAAAAUAUAUAAAAAAGCUCUAAAGCUCUAAUUAAUUGGCUUAAAAAAGUGCUUAAGUCAGAUACUAAAAAAAAAAGACUAGUCAAAUGCUUUUUCAAUUUUAUGUAACUUAAGUAACAUCUUGAGUAAAUAAACUGAUUUUUAAAUUUUUGGUAAAGUAAUAUUAGAAAUGUCUUAAAAAUUGCAGCAUACAUCUUUGCAUUUAUUAAUCAAGCAAAUUUCAUACUUACCCCUGACAAAUAUUAUAAGGUGUCAAAAUUUGACAUAGGGAUAGAAAAGUAUAACCCAGCCCAAAACAGAAUGAUAUUUGCUUUUGUAAUUUUUAAUAAAUAAGACACUGAUAUAGGUUUAAUAAAAAUAGCUGCAUCUUGAAUUUAGUAAGAUUACCAUAACUUCUAAUCCUGUGGCUUUAGGCAAUCUGGUCCACAGAUAAUAAGGAGAUUUUUUGCGAAAGGACUGUUACCGUUUUUGAUUCAGAACUAAACUAUAAACUAAGUUCCUCCCAAAGUUAGUUCAGCCUAAGCCCAGGAAUUAUCAAGGACAGCUUGGAGUUUAACAGCAAGAUGCAGUCAGUGAGGUCAAAUCAUUUUUUACUGUCUCAGUUAUAAUUCUGCAAUGGUGGUUUCAUAACUUCAAAUCAUGACUAUCACAGUUUUCUGUGAUAAUAAUAAUAAUAAAUAAUAAAUAAUCUAGGUAAACAAUUAAAAUUAUAUAAUUAGGCAAAUGCAAUGGGAUAAAUACUUCUAGACAAACUGGUCAUAAUUUAAAAUAUGAAGUUAUAUUAAUUAAAUGAUAGAUAUUUUAUUAUUUGGGUAUUUUUCAACAAAUGUAUAUUGUAGAAAAACAUUCUUGCUACCAAAAAAGUGUGUCCUUUCUUUUUAUUUUUUUUUUUAAAAAAAAAGGUGAACAAGUUUUGUCUAAUUCAAAGCUUAUUUAAAGGUUACAUAUAAAAUAAGGUAAAAGGAAGCAGGACUAAAACAAGAUGUAAAUAAAGGUAUAAAAAUAAGAAGGAUUUUUUGAGUUAAAAAAGCUUAAAGAAAAAUAAUUUUAUAUAAGAAAGAAACUUUUAUGGUAAAUUUAGUCCUAAAAUAAAAUAAUUGCUUGUUUAAAAAGGAGGGAUGUUCAGAACAAACCAGAAAGUCAUAUUAUUAUUAAGCUUUGGUUUACUUAGAAAAAAACUGAGAUAAUUUUUUUAACUAAGGUUAUUACAUCCAAGCCUUUUCUUGUAUGUGCUUUUAAAGUCCUUAUAACAUUGAGUUACAGGGCUUUAACUCCUGGAUCUAAAAAGGACACCAAGUCCUGCUUAAUCUUAAACCCUGACAGCAAUUAAACCAUCAUCUUCAGGCCCCAUAGAAGAUGCCAAUCAAAACAAACUUCAUUCCUGAGACACAGGGCAAUAAAUUAAAGCUAUUCAACUCCUCAAGGCCCAGGGACUAUCACUGAAGAGUUGGGCACGUCAAAUUCAAAGGGCUGAUUUUGAAACCCUGUUAGACUAAGUUCAGUUUCUCUAUAAAUUAAUCAUUAAUGCCAAAGGCACACUAAUGGAAAACCAGUAUAUGGACCCCUGUGUCAGAAUAACAAGGUUUUCUUGAACCAUUAACUAACUCUUUAAUAAAGGUUAUAAAAGGCUUAUGGAAGUUGUAUUUUAUAAUUAAUUUAAAUUUUAUAUAUUGAAAAUUUUGAAAAACAAAUGUAAUUGGCUUCAUUUUUUUUAUGGCUUCUUGUUUAGAAAAUUAAGUCUCCUCUCUCAAAGGAUGAAGGUUUUUGCUUUUUUUUGAAAUCCUUGAAUUAUCACUUUGGUUAAAUAAAUGACUUUAUAAUGACCUGUAAUCCUAUUUUGUGAUGUUAAGUGUUUUAAACCUUUUAUAUUUGACAAACUUUCCACAAUCAAAUUAUAAGUUAUGUCUUUUCCUAACCUAAUUAAUACUUUAAUAUAUUAGGUUCCCCUAAAGUCCAAAAAUUACAUAAUUAGGCUUAUUUGAUAUAAAAAUUACACAGAAAGCAUUGUCAAAUAUGAAAUGGUGUUUGGUUUUCUUUGGGAUCUAUUUAUAUAAAUAUGUUAUUGGUAUAUGUUCCAAAAUUAUGGGAAAUUCCUGUAAUUCUAAGUUAUAUUAGAAAUUCCUGUAAUUCUAAGUUACAUUAGAAUUUGACAAACUUUCCAAUCAAAAUUGUUAUGUUAAAAUUAUUGGGUGCCACAGAGGUAACAAAUUUCCUUGUCAAUUGUCUUUUGACUAUGGCUGCCUUAAAACUGUUUUUUCAUCAAUGGACAAUUGUCUUGUUUUGGUCCUCUUUAGAAGGUGGUUUUAUAAUCAGCUAUAAAACUCCAACAGGUGCUCUUAAAUUCAGGUUUCCUAUAACUUUGGAGAUUGUGAUACCACAAUAGAGGGAAAACUUUCAGGACUCAUGGAGAGCUAAAAAUAUUCAUGAGUAUCAAGUAGAACAGAAAUUAACUCCAUGGACUGAACCAAUCUUUUUAACUUUUUGCUUAAAAUGUUUGCUGAUCCUUUGUUUUUUUUUUCACUCAUAAAACUUUUCUUUUGGGCUAUUGACAGGUUUUCAAAAUUUAGUAUACUCCUAUGAACAAAAUUUGGAGCAUAUUUGUUUCUCUCUACCUGAUUGCUCCAGAAUUUGGAAGCUAUUUGUGAGUAUUCUUAACUUAUGGCAACACAGUUAUUUGCAUACGUGCAAUAAGAAUCUGUUUUCAUUUGUAACAGGACACAAUUGGAGAAAUUGAUUAUUUUACCAAGGCUUUGACUGGAAUGGUGUGCCUUCCUUUAAGGAAUCAAAAUUGACUUAAGCCAAUAAAGCCUUUGGAAAACCUGGCCUCAUGAUUUGUCUUUAGUGAAAAGGGAAACUGGAGAGAGAGAAAAAAAUAGGUUUCAAAAUGAUAGUACACCCGGUGUUAGAUUCUAGUAUUGCCUAAUUUUUUUUUUCCAUUUUUAUUAUUCUCCACGGUUAGGGCUAAAUUCUAUUUUUUUCUUGGCUACAAGUCUUCAGAACAAUGUUUUUAAUUAUUUUUUCGUUUUCUUCUUUUUUUUUUCCAUUUUUUCCUCAUUGGCAGUUACUGAAAACUAAGGUGUAUUUUCUUAAAGCCCUGCAAACUGAAGCUAGACAACUUAAACUUCAGAAGAAAGUAACAGUAACCUAUUUACAUACAUAAGCCACUUUCAUACCUGCUGGUAUGGACUUCAGAGUAAUGUGUGGACUGUAGAGUAAUGUGGCCUAUAUCGAUUUUUUUCAGGAUUGCUCUUUUGUUUGUUGUUGUUUUUCCUCCCUUCUUCCCCCUUAUUUUCCCUUCCCUGGACAUGAGACUUCACAACUUGUUAAAAAAUGAGCUUUCAGGACAUACCCAUCUAGAAAUAAACCGUCCUAGCCAUGAGAGAUCAUAUGAAACCUGAGACCAGAGACUCAUUUUCUUGUAAAGUGGUUUCUCCAAAAGAGUUUUAAAAAGAAAAGGGGGAAAAUGUAAAAAGAAAAUAUCUUGGGCCCCUUGAAGCUGAAAACCCCUCAGGGCAAAUCUGCUUCCCAUUCUAUUCAAAGUCAUCCCUCUGCUCACAGAGACAGAUGCAUAUUCUGACUUCCUCCUUUGGAAAGACUUAUCAGAAAUUCAAAAGAAUGCAACCAUCUGUCUCUCACCUCCCUGUGACCUGGAAGCCCCUGGCUGGGGGGUGGUGAGUGGUUUGCUUUUACUUUUCUCUGCCUUUCUAAAUGUAACUAAUGUACUUCUUACAUAUAUUGAUUGUUGUCUCAUGUCUUCCUAAAAUGUAUAAAACCAAGCUGUGCCCAGACCACCUCGGGCACAUGUCAUCGGGACCUCCUCAGGCUGUGUCACGGCCUUGGCAAAAUAAACUUUCUAGAUUAACUGAGACGUGUCUCAGAUUUUCUGGGUUCACACAGGGUUAGUAUAUUUUUUGAGGAUAUAUCUGGAGGAUAUAAUAUAAAGGGUUCUUUUGAGAGCAGUUUUUGAGCUACAUGGGUUCCCUGUAUCCUAGCUUAUAAAAAUCCAGAGGAGGACAGUUGGCAUUAUAUCACUUGCAUCUGCCUCAAUCUGUGUUCAGAGAUCUUAAAUUUUAAAGCAGGCAUCCCUAUAAUAUUUCAAUCAGCAUUCAUCCCUUGUUGAAAAUUCUAUUUUUUCUGAGACUCAGGACUGCAGUUCUACACAUAUCUGGGCUUUUUUUCUGGAUUGUGCCUUAAAAAUUAGAGAUUCACUCAGAAUAUUAUGACCUUUUAAAUUACCAAAUUUCUUGGCACCUUGAUUCCAUGUAUUUAUAUUGUAAACUUCAAUCAUAUCUUCCAAGUUGGCAGAAUACUUUAUACUUGGACCUUCUUCUAAAACGAGGUUUACACUGUUAAAUCAUUAGGCAGGUUUACCUUCUACCUGGAGACAAUUUUACAAAUGUUUGUUUUAUUGAUUUCUAAUGUGUUUCUCUCUCUCUCACACACACACACACUCUGUCACACACACACACACACACAUCUCUAGCUAAAGUUUUUUUCUUAAGUUUAGUAUUCAUUAUAUUUAUUAAGAGGGUUAGUGACAUUGUUGACCCUGUUCAACUAUUAAGAGGUAGAUUUAAAUGAUAAGUUGACCUAAUUUUCAAUGAUUUUUCUAAUAUAACUUGGUAAAACAAUUUGGAAUAUCAGGCAAUUGGAAAAACAAGACCACACAUUAUGUAUCUUUCUUUUCUCUCUUGAAAAAAUUCCUUAUUUAUACAUACAGGUACAGAACAGAUUUCUGCAAAGCAAAUUUUUAUGUGUUAAAAAAUAAAAUUUGACAAUAAUGCCAGCAGCUUGUAGUGCAC
rnacentral:lncRNA from 10 species